rnacentral:rRNA from 1 species
UACGGGGGGAGCAAGCGUUGUUCGGAUUUACUGGGCGUAAAGGGCGCGUAGGCGGCGUGACAAGUCACUGGUGAAAUCUCCGGGCUUAACUCGGAAACUGCCGUUGAUACUAUUUAUCUUGAAUAUCAUGGAGGUAAGCGGAAUAUGUCAUGUAGCGGUGAAAUGCUUAGAUAUGACAUAGAACACCGAUAGCGAAGGCAGCUUACUACAUGUUAAUUGACGCUGAGGCACGAAAGCGUGGGGAGCAAACAGG